rnacentral:rRNA from 1 species
UACAGAGGGUGCGAGCGUUAAUCGGAAUUACUGGGCGUAAAGCGCACGUAGGCGGCUUGGUAUGUCGGGUGUGAAAUCCCCGGGCUCAACCUGGGAACUGCAUCCGAAACUGCCUUGCUCGAGUAUGGGAGAGGGAAGUGGAAUUUCCGGUGUAGCGGUGAAAUGCGUAGAUAUCCGGAGGAACACCGGGUGGCGAAGGCGGCUCCUGG